rnacentral:SRP_RNA from 1 species
GCCAGGCAUGGUGGUGCAUGCCUGUAAUCCCAGAUACUCAGGAGGCUGAGGCAUGAGAAUUGCUUGAACCCAGGAGGUGGGGGUUUCAGUGAACCGAGAUCAUGUCACUGCACCCCUGCCUGGGUAACAGAGCAAGACUGUCUCAA